GUUUAAUUUCCUUUUUUGAUGAAAGUGUGUCUGUGUUCAUCAAGACAUGAAGACUCUGGAGUGGGACAAAAGAAGGAUGAUGGGGUGUAUAUUCCAAUAGACACAUUAAGUGAAAGCAGAUAAAUACAGAGGGCUGGACAGUGGUUUCAUUCAUUAGGUAAAGAGGUGGGACAAGGAUGCUGACAGGACAGGAGGAGGUGACAUUCAGACAUUCAGCGCAGACAUUUUCAUCCAAAGCAACUUGAGGAAGAAAACAGAAGCAGUUCAUCCUAAAAGUGGGCUGCUGUAAUGUUUACAUCUAUGGAAAGAGGAGCUGAGAAGAAAAGAGAGGCUGGAAAGCAGUACUUCUUGUUGAGGACAAUCCUGAAUAGGAACACUUUCUCAUACACAUACCGUAGAUUAUUAUUAGUGUUUGAUUUUUUUUCUUUUUCAUUUUUAUUAAUUGUAUUGUUUUAAUUUUUCGUUUUAUUUGAAAUUACCCAAUUUUAGAUUCAUGCUAAUACUUUAACUGGAACUUUUAUCUUUGCGUGAAGCUGGCUGUGGAGUUGGUUUCACAUACACAUGAAGUUUCUAAAUAACUUAACUAACUUUUAAGUUCAGUUUGGUUUAAACUUGUAUGUACAUGGUAAUUCAUUUAAAUUUAAAUUCAUGCUAAUAUAUAAAUUUCAAUGAAAACUUCUGUAUUUGUGUAUAGCUGGUAAUUUGGGCAAACUACAUUUCACACACCAAUGUAACUGUCACAAAGUUUUUUUUUAUUAUCAGUUUGUUCUAAACUUUUGUUUGUUUACUAAGGAUGAAAUUGCUUUGUAAUUUAAAUGGUUUGUGUUAGAUUCAUGCCAAUAAUGUAUUUGAACAAACUAGUACUUUUGUUUA